GCAAGAGCUUUGGGAGUUUCCAAGAUGCACUAGAAUGCAGCACAGAGUGUGUUUGUUUCGGUGUCCUCAGAUGCCUCUGUGGGUGUUUCCUUCCUGUUCAAACUUUAAUUUCACUUUCCUGAAGUAAAUGUUUGUGACUGACGCUGUGAAGGGUACAAACACAGGAUUGUUUGGUCUCAGUCAGACUGAAGGACUGCACACGAACACUGGUGACUGAUCACCUGAAUUCAUCUCAUCACUUUUGCAGACACCAUGGGCGCUCGGCAGUCCGUCAUUCAUAUUACGAACAAGACUGAGGGCUACACCCUUCAAAACCCCAGUCUGCAUCUUGUUAGCGGACUCUGCCAAAUCCCUUUGCCAACAAAACUUGGGCCUUCUGAAUGUGGCAGCGCUCUGUUCUCUAAGACUGGCGGCACAGCGCGAGGAUCUGUUGGAGUCUUCACCUACGAUCUCUACGAUACAGCUGCAGACAGAGCUGAUAAGAAAAUAGCCGUCCUGCCUGUACCCGCAGCUUCUGCUGGUGCAGAUUAACUGAAUGAUAAAUGAUACAUGAUAAUAAUGAUGAUAAACUGAUCCAGACUAAUGAAGUAAUGAUGAAAUAAUGACAGUGCCUUAUGAAUGAUACACCGUGACAGUGAAAUAACAUGUUUUUCUUGACACCAGGUCGUCCCAUAGACAGCCGUGCAGCACCGCGUACCUCAUC
ensembl:lncRNA